rnacentral:rRNA from 1 species
AGUGAACGCUGGCGGUAUGCCUAACACAUGCAAGUCGAACGGCAGCACAGUAAGAGCUUGCUCUUACGGGUGGCGAGUGGCGGACGGGUGAGGAAUACAUCGGAAUCUACUUUUUCGUGGGGGAUAACGUAGGGAAACUUACGCUAAUACCGCAUACGACCUACGGGGGAAAGCAGGGGAUCUUCGGACCUUGCGCGGUUGAAUGAGCCGAUGUCGGAUUAGCUAGUUGGCGGGGUAAAGGCCCACCAAGGCGACGAUCCGUAGCUGGUCUGAGAGGAUGAUCAGCCACACUGGAACUGAGACACGGUCCAGACUCCUACGGGAGGCAGCAGUGGGGAAUAUUGGACAAUGGGCGCAAGCCUGAUCCAGCCAUACCGCGUGGGUGAAGAAGGCCUUCGGGUUGUAAAGCCCUUUUGUUGGGAAAGAAAAGCAGCAGGUUAAUACGCCGCUGUUCUGACGGUACCCAAAGAAUAAGCACCGGCUAACUUCGUG